UGGAUGGUUACUAUCAACUCUUUUCAAUCUUGAUUUCAAUAUCUCCGAAAAUGAUUCCACUCAGAGGAUGUCAUUAACGUUGGCCGCUCUCUAUCAGGUGUCUCGUCCAAUGAGGCACGUCUGGGGACGAGCCAUUGGCCAGAUUUGCAUUUAAAUAGCUUCAUAAUGACUGUUUCAAAACUUUCAGGUUUGGGCACCAAUCAGAGCCGGUUCCCCUGCGAAAUGACAGUGUUAAAACUAAUGUUCACGAGGAUACAACUCAUAUUUUUAAAAAGUAAGAAAGUAAGACAACAUUAGAAUAUGAUUUAGGAUCAGCUAUUGCAGUAAAACACCCCAAGGAAAACAUUCACGAAACUUUUUAAGAGAUUUUGUGAUUUAUUUGAAACUUAUUUAGUGUAGAUUUCUGAACAAAUGCAUUAACACAACAUGCUGCUUAUGAAAUGUGCUAGAAAAGGUGGCACGAGAGUUGUUUCUCCCUCUGAGCUCCAUGUUAUUCAGUCGGGUUUGGCUUUGCUGUCAGCAAUUGAGGGAAGAUGCAGCAAGCUUGAAUCUUCAAAGACAGUCAUACAUGUAAAAAACAAAACAAAAAAAACAGAAAGACAAUGAACAUUUUUAUGUUUCAUUUUAAACAAAUUCAGAAGCUAUGAUGGAUAAUUUUGUGAAUUUUGUAAACAUGAAAUCAUUUUCUUUCUCAAUGCUUAUUGUGAAUAUUUAAUUUGUACAUCUUUUUCAAAGAAAAAAAAAAGUCUUUGUAAUUUUUAAUCCAAAAAACUAUAUAGGCAUUAUUUGAGUGUGCCCACAUUCGAUUUGGCUCCAUUUUAGUUUAUAAUGCACAUUUUCACCAACAUAUCAAUUACAGAUGGAUACAAUUCUCAUUGAAUACCCUGUAAUAAAGGAGUUCCAUUAUGGCAAAAAAACAAUCAGUCCAAAUAUUCAAAAAGUAACGUUCUAAAGUUUGGGGUCAGUAAUAAAUGUUUAGAAAAUGUAUACUUUUAUUCAGCAGGGAUGCAUUACAUUUAUCAAAAAUGACAUUUUUAAAGUAACAUUUAUAAGACAUUUACAAUUUUACAAAAGAUUUUUAUUUUAAAUAAAUGCCUUCUAUCCUGGAUAAAAAUGUAUCAUGCUUUCACAAAAAUAAUAAAUAGCACAACUGUUCAAAAUCAGCAUAUUAGAAUGAUUUCUGAAGGAUCAUGUGACACUGGAGACAAGUAAUAGCUUGUCUUGAAAAUUCAGCUUUGCCAUCACAAGAAUGAAUUUAUUAUAAUUAAAUAAACAAAUCCUUGGUGAGCAUAAGAGACUUAAAACAAAACAAAAAAACAACAAACAAAAAAAAUCUAGACCCCAAACUUUAAAUAGUAGUGCAUUCCCAUACAUUACUUUUAUUUCAGGGGAAAAGAGAACAGAUAAAAUCACAAGAACUAAAAACAUAAAAAUCUCAGCAAGUGGGAAACUGCAGAAAAUGGCUGACCUGCUGAUAUUCAAACACCAAGUGACAUUGUGAAAACUUGUGAAAACCGGCCUGUGCCACGUUUGUGAAGAGGAAAAUGUAAGGUUGUACACUACACGUCGCUGGUUGGUGUUGAGAGGCAACAAUUUCUUUCAGUUACUCAGCACUUUAAUUCUCAGACAGAUUGUCUGGUCUCCCCAGAGCACUGACACUUAGACACACGCUGCGAGGCUGGACAGUAAAAGCCUCUGCAGACUCGGUCUAAGAGCAGGUUCACCAGACAGAAAACACAUCUCACUGUACUCAGCCUGUCACGGAUGCGCUUCCACUGGGGAUGCCGUGCUAAAGAAUGGGUCUCAGUGACAAAAUUAUAUCUGACAGGCCUUCCACUCUCCAUUUUGCCCUUCACUUUAAGUGCUGCCUCUACAAAUGAACCAGCUAUAGCAAUAAAAAUCAAAUCCUCUUUAUAUGUACAUUAGAAUUAUAAAAUUUAUUUAAAAAGCCCUUCUGUUUGGCAUUUCAGAGAGGCAAUUUUAAUUAAAUACAUACACCAUAGAAAAAACACAAUAUGUGCUGAUAAUUACUUAUAAAAUAUCAUUAUGUACAUUUAUAACAUUGAUAAAAGGUACAAAACAAUAGGAAGUUGUCUGAUGAGGGACAGAUGACUUGUCUAAAUAUCCUUUGCCUCUUUCCUGUCUUUCACAACUGAAGUUUCGUCCACCACAAUG
rnacentral:lncRNA from 1 species